rnacentral:rRNA from 1 species
CCUACGGUGCGCAGCAGUCGAGAAUCAUUCACAAUGGGGGAAACCCUGAUGGUGCGACGCCGCGUGGGGGAAUGAAGGUCUUCGGAUUGUAAACCCCUGUCAUGUGGGAGCAAAUUAAAAAGAUAGUACCACAAGAGGAAGAGACGGCUAACUCUGUGCCAGCAGCCGCGGUAAUACAGAGGUCUCAAUCGUUGUUCGGAAUCACUGGGCGUAAAGCGUGCGUAGGCUGUUUCGUAAGUCGUGUGUGAAAGGCGCGGGCUCAACCCGCGGACGGCACAUGAUACUGCGAGACUAGAGUAAUGGAGGGGGAACCGGAAUUCUCGGUGUAGCAGUGAAAUGCGUAGAUAUCGAGAGGAACACUCGUGGCGAAGGCGGGUUCCUGGACAUUAACUGACGCUGAGGCACGAAGGCCAGGGGAGCGAAAGGGAUUAGAUACCCUAGUAGUC